rnacentral:rRNA from 1 species
UGGGGAAUUUUCCGCAAUGGGCGAAAGCCUGACGGAGCAAGACCGCGUGAGGGAGGAAGGCCCUUGGGUUGUAAACCUCUUUUCUCAGGGAAGAAGAAAGUGACGGUACCUGAGGAAUCAGCCUCGGCUAACUCCGUGCCAGCAGCCGCGGUAAUACGGAGGAGGCAAGCGUUAUCCGGAAUUAUUGGGCGUAAAGCGUCCGCAGGCGGCCGUUCAAGUCUGCUGUCAAAGCCCGCAGCUCAACUGUGGAUGGGCAGUGGAAACUGAAUGGCUAGAGCGUGGUAGGGGUAGAGGGAAUUCCUAGUGUAGCGGUGAAAUGCGUAGAUAUUAGGAAGAACACCAGUGGCGAAGGCGCUCUACUGGGCCACGACUGACGCUGAGGGACGAAAGCUAGGGGAGCGAAAGGGAUUAGAUACCCCCGUAGUCC